AUUGAACGCUGGCGGCAUGCCUUACACAUGCAAGUCGAACGGUAACAGGUCUUCGGAUGCUGACGAGUGGCGAACGGGUGAGUAAUACAUCGGAACGUGCCCAGACGUGGGGGAUAACGAGGCGAAAGCUUUGCUAAUACCGCAUACGAUCUAAGGAUGAAAGCAGGGGACCGCAAGGCCUUGUGCGUUUGGAGCGGCCGAUGGCAGAUUAGGUAGUUGGUGGGAUAAAAGCUUACCAAGCCGACGAUCUGUAGCUGGUCUGAGAGGACGACCAGCCACACUGGGACUGAGACACGGACCAGACUCCUACGGGAGGCAGCAGUGGGGAAUUUUGGACAAUGGGCGAAAGCCUGAUCCAGCAAUGCCGCGUGCAGGAUGAAGGCCUUCGGGUUGUAAACUGCUUUUGUACGGAACGAAAAGGCUCUGGCUAAUACCUGGGGCACAUGACGGUACCGUAAGAAUAAGCACCGGCUAACUACGUG
rnacentral:rRNA from 1 species